rnacentral:pre_miRNA from 1 species
GAGUGAUGGUUAUGAUGAUGAUGAUGAUGAUGAUGAUAUGGCCUCCCGACACGACACUGAUGAUGAUGUUCGUUUGGUUUACGAGGAGGACGCUGAUGAUGAUGAUUUCAAAAUAAUAAUAAUAAUCAUCUUCAUCAUCAUCAUCAUCAUCAUUG